UGAGCAAUAUUUAUAAACUGAAGUCGGGCAGGAGCAGGAGCAGCAGCAGCAGCAGCAGCAGUAGGAGGAGGACAAGAGAGGUGUCCCCGCAAGGACACUGGACAAGUGGCAGUAGAAGUGGGCCAUGGCCAAGAGAGGAGACUGGAGGCUGGAGGAGCACAAGACUAAGCUCAUUUAAUGGGAAUGGAUUUGUUUGUUGUUUGUGGCACAGCACGAGCAAGCAGCCCCGCGCAACCACUGGCCAACGGAUCAUCUAAUUGAAUGACAAUAUUAUGCCAAGGCCUAAUUCAAUUUGCAUUCCGCUGGAGGGCAGGCAGGCCGCAACGCAACGCAACGCGUCACAUCGCAUCGCAGUCCCCCCUUCGAAAGCAGUUGUUUAAAUCUUAAACAAACACAGCAAUCAGCAAUUACAGCAGAACGGAUGCACUUGCUGCUGCUGCUGCUUCUGCUAAGGUGCCUGUGCCUCUGCUGGUGGGUUUUCGUCUAGCCAAAUGACUCGGACUGGUACUGGGACUCCUCCCUGGCCCUGUAAUUAGUCCUGGGAUAAAACGAGAUGAGAAACGAGAGGAUGAGGAUGAGGACGAUACGCCUCGGCUCUGACCUUUGUCGGCCUCGUCGGGGGUCCGGUUAUGUUGCUGCCUAAUUACAGGGUAAUCAGGCUUUCAGCCGCUUUGGCUUUGGCGCUACCGUUUUUUUGGGGCAGCUAGAUGAUGAUUGAUUAGUGGCCAUCGCCAUCGCCAUUGCCAUCGCCAUCGCCAUCCUUAAACCCUAAGCCCGAAGACGAAUCUACCUUGCAUCUGUGGAUUGAUGACAUCUGCCUCCAAAGUGCAGGACGCGCGCGUGCCAGCGGCAGCAACAAAGGCAACAAAACGAAUGGCAAAAAGGAAAAAGUGCAAACAAGCAGCUGAAAGCCAAAAAGAGCUCUGAAAUGGAUAUGGAAAACAGCGACAGGCGACAAGCGGCAAGCGGCAAGAGGCAGCGGCAGCGGCAAAAGGCAGCGGCAGCGGCAAGCGAGAGGGAAAAAGCAAAUCGAAAACUGAUUUGGAGCGGAAGUUCGUUUGCACCUUUCCCAGCAACAGCAGUUUCCUGUAUUUGCGAUGUCAAGAACAAUAAGAACACGAGGAGACUCCGAUCCAAAUAAGAGCGAGAGCGAGGGAGAGGGAGAGGGAGUACGAGUACGCACUGUCAAGACAUUAAGAAAUCCAUGAAUCAGUGGAAAAUGUUCUACUACCUUGACGUUUUGGCCUUUGACGCCGUCUAUUGUCUUGAGAAUUGGAAUGCACAACAGAGGAGAGCAGCGAAAAACAGCAGCACCGCCCGUUGGCUUUUGUAUUGCAAAUCAAAAGCUAUAUGCGACUCCAUUCCAUUCCAUACCAUAUAUAGAUUAAGGAUAUGCUUGCCCUGCGUAUGUGUGUAUGCAAAGGAGCAGGCACGGCACGGCACGGCACAGUCCCAAGGAGCAGCUGUCGUCGUCGCUUGCUCGCUCCAUCUCCAUCGCCGUCUCUGUAUUUGAUUUGCGAUUUCUGAGGCAAGCGGAAAUGGAAUGACACGCGAGGCACUCCAGCAGCAGUAGCAGCAGCAGCACAGCCACUCCUCACAUUGUUUGGCAGCAGCAGAUUGGCAAAAAUGGAGGCAAAAACCAAACCUAAAAGAGUCCCAAACAGCGGCUUCCUUCCACUUGAGCCAUACGCAUUGUUUGACUGCUGUUCGAAACUAGGGCCAGUGCUUGCCUUUGAAGGGGCGUGCCGCCAAUGGAGGAAGCAUAUGCCUGGAAAUCGGAUAUCGCUCUAAACAAUCCAAAAAAACCAACGAAAAAACAAAACACAAACAUUUCUAGUCCCGAAAGCAGAGUUUUCCAACCCACUGAGCAGCCGCAAUCUGACGAUUCAGCUGCCGCUGCCACUGCCACUGCCACUGCCGUUGAGGGGAGAGUAGUAGGUGUAAACCUGAGCAACGCGUGUCCUAGGCCUAGACCCAGACCCAGGCCUAGGCCUAGGCCUAGAGGAUGGCCACUGAUGUCUAAUUAGCGUAUGGGUCGGGUCACAGGUUAAUGAUGUGCGCAUUGCGCACCCCGUGCCUGCGCUUCCGCCUUGGACUGGAUGGACACGACACUGCAGCAAUUAUACGAGGCACUUGAGCUUGAACGAGGAAUGCAGCAGCAGCAGCAAAAGCAGAAGCAGCAGAAACAGAAGCAAUGUAGCUUCUUCCCAAUCAUUGACCCCUCUGGAGUGGACGGGACUCGACUGGAAUGGACUCUCUGUUUCGGGUUUUAUGAUGUUGUCGUAAAUGUCAGGUGCUCUGUGCCCCAUUUAAAUUUAUUUCAACAUAAUUAGUUCGUUUCGUUUCUAUGUUUCUG
rnacentral:sRNA from 1 species